GCGGAAGUGGCGGAAUUGGUAGACGCACCAGAUUUAGGUUCUGGCGCCGCAAGGUGUGAGAGUUCAAGUCUCUCCUUUCGCACCA
rnacentral:tRNA from 1 species